rnacentral:rRNA from 1 species
UACCAGCACCCCGAGUGGUCGGACGAUUAUUGGGCCUAAAGCAUCCGUAGCCGGUUUUACAAGUCCUCCGUUAAAUCCAGCUGCUUAACAGAUGGCUGCGGAGGAUACUAUAAGACUAGGAGGCAGGAGAGGCAAGCGGUACUCAGUGGGUAGGGGUAAAAUCCGUUGAUCCAUUGAAGACCACCAGUGGCGAAGGCGGCUUGCCAGAAUGCGCUCGACGGUGAGGGAUGAAAGCUGGGGGAGCAACCAGGG